rnacentral:lncRNA from 1 species
UUGUCACUCUAUGAGCUGGUUCCUUGACUUUAACAUGUAGCCACAGUGGCUUACACUAGUCUCCAGACACCUAGAAUCUGGCCUAAUUAGCAAGGCCACCCACACCUCUCCCAACUUCUUCCCAGGGGCUUCCCGCAAAGGCCAACCUUGGAGUGAGAACUGUGAUCCACAAAUGGAGGGAUGACCAACAGCCUGGACAAUGUGCUGGUUCCAUCGAGUGCUGCUCAUCAAGAUAA